rnacentral:rRNA from 1 species
GACGAACGCUGGCGGCGUGCCUAAUACAUGCAAGUUGAGCGCUGAAGGUUGGUACUUGUACCAACUGGAUGAGCAGCGAACGGGUGAGUAACGCGUGGGGAAUCUGCCUUUGAGCGGGGGACAACAUUUGGAAACGAAUGCUAAUACCGCAUAAAAACUUUAAACACAAGUUUUAAGUUUGAAAGAUGCAAUUGCAUCACUCAAAGAUGAUCCCGCGUUGUAUUAGCUAGUUGGUGAGGUAGGCUCACCAAGGCGAUGAUACAUAGCCGACCUGAGAGGGUGAUCGGCCACAUUGGGACUGAGACACGGCCCAAACUCCUACGGGAGGCAGCAGUAGGGAAUCUUCGGCAAUGGACGAAAGUCUGACCGAGCAACGCCGCGUGAGUGAAGAAGGUUUUCGGAUCGUAAAACUCUGUUGGUAGAGAAGAACGUUGGUGAGAGUGGAAAGCUCAUCAAGUGACGGUAACUACCCAGAAAGGGACGGCUAACUACGUG